UACGUAGGGGGCAAGCGUUGUCCGGAAUUAUUGGGCGUAAAGAGCGCGUAGGCGGUCCGAUAAGUCGGCUGUGAAAGUCAGGGGCUCAACCCUUGAAAGCCGGCCGAUACUGUCGGACUAGAGUCCGGAAGAGGCAAGUGGAAUUCCCGGUGUAGCGGUGAAAUGCGCAGAUAUCGGGAGGAACACCAAUUGCGAAGGCAGCUUGCUGGGACGGUACUGACGCUGAGGCGCGAAAGCGUGGGGAGCAAACAGG
rnacentral:rRNA from 1 species